rnacentral:rRNA from 1 species
UUGGAGGGCAAGUCUGGUGCCAGCAGCCGCGGUAAUUCCAGCUCCAAUAGCGUAUAUUAAAGUUGUUGCAGUUAAAAAGCUCGUAGUUGAAUUUCGGGGUUCUACCGUUGGUCGGGCUUUGUCUGUACUGGUGUGUAGAAUUUCUACCUUCUGGGGAACCAUCAUGCUAUUAAUUUAGCGUGGUGGGAAACCAGGGCCUUUACCUUGAAAAAAUUAGUAUGUUCAAAGCAGGCUUAUGUCUGAAUACAUUAGCGUGGAAUAAUAGAAUAGGACGGUGGUCCUGUUUUGUUGGUUUCUGAAUCACCGUAAUGAUUAAUAGGGAUUGUUGGGGGCAUUAGUAUUCAAUUGUCAGAGGUGAAAUUCUUGGAUUUAUUGAAGACUAACUUCUGCGAAAGCAUUUGCCAAGGAUGUUUUCAUUAAUCAAGAACGAAAGUUAGGGGAUCGAAGACGAUCAGAUACCGUCGUAGUCUUAACCAUAAACUAUGCCGACUAGGGAUCGGACGAUGUUAAUUUUUCUUGACUCGUUCGGCGCCUUACGGGAAAC